GUAAAUGACGGGGGCCCGCACAAGCGGUGGAGCAUGUGGUUAAAUUCGAUGCAACGCGAAAAACCAUACCUACCCUUGACAUCCUCGGAUCUUGUCAGAGAUGAUUUGGUGCGUUCGGGAACCGAGUGACAGGUGCUGCAUGGCUGUCGUCAGCUCGUGUCGUGAGAUGUUGGGUCAAGUCCCGUAACGAGCGCAACCCUCAUCCUUAGUUGCCAGCGAGUCAAGUCGGGAACCCUAAGGAGACUGCGGGUGAUAAUCCGGAGGAAGGUGGGGAUGAUGUCAAGUCAUCAUGGCCCUUACGGGUAGGGCUACACACGUGUUACAAUGGGCAGUACAAAGGGUUGCCAAGCCGCGAGGUGGAGCUAAUCCCAGACUUUAAUGGGCCUGGGCUGAUCCAUGG
rnacentral:rRNA from 1 species